GACGAACGCUGGCGGCGUGCCUAAUACAUGCAAGUCGAACGCAGUGGGGACGGGUGAGUAACACGUGGGUAACCUCCCAUCAGAGGGGAUAACACUUGGAAACAGGUGCUAAACCGAUACUGAUGGAUGGACCCGCGGUGCAUUAGCUAGUUGGUGAGGUAACGGCUCACCAAGGACACGAUGCAUAGCCGACCUCGAGUGCGACUCUUCCCCCCUGGGACUGAGACACGGCCCACACUCCUUCCUCAUCCCUCCUUUUCCUCUAUUCUAAUCUUCACGAAAGUCUGACCUAGCAACGCCGCGUGAGUGAAUACUAUUUUCUGAUCUUCACACUCUGUUGUUAGAGAAGCGGUAUCUAACCAGAAAGCCACGGCUAACUACGUGCCAGCAGCCGCGGUAAUUC
rnacentral:rRNA from 1 species